rnacentral:misc_RNA from 1 species
AAUUCUCAACUAUACAAGUUUUUGAAACAUGUAUAGCUUGGAUCUUGGGAUUUGCGGGCUUUCACAAGUCGGCUAUCCUUAAAUGCAUUAGCAGAGCUUUUGCCGCUAACCUCUGGUGUGAUAAUUAUCUACGCCAUCGAGUUGCGACAUAUUGAGGCUUAGCUUCUAAUCGUCCGCAAGGACAAUAUUUGACA